rnacentral:tRNA from 1 species
UUAAAGUUAAUGUAGCUUAAAAUUA